GGGAUCCUAGAAGCUUCCCAACAUGAGAGAGGAGGGAGGGGUGCAGGGCUCUGGAAGAGGCCUAGAUAUGCACUUGAAGGUGCUAGCAAGACGUCUCAGGAGGUUUUUCAAGACAGAGUCUCUCUGCACAGCCCUGGCUAUCUUGGAACUCACUCUGUAGACUAGGCUGUCCUUGAACUCACAGAGAUCCACCUCAGAAAGCC